AACGAACGCUGGCGGCGUGCUUAACACAUGCAAGUCGAACGCGAAAGUUUUCUUCGGAAGACGAGUAGAGUGGCGCACGGGUGAGUAACGCGUGGGUAACCUACCCUUGAAUUGGGGAUAACUCUUCGAAAGGGGAGUUAAUACCGAAUAAUAUUCUAAUUCCCACGGGAGUUGGAAUCGAAGGUGGCCUCUGCAUGCAAGCUAUCGUUUAAGGAUGGGCCCGCGUACCAUUAGCUAGUUGGUAGGGUAAUAGCCUACCAAGGCAACGAUGGUUAGCUGGUCUGAGAGGAUGGCCAGCCACACUGGAACUGAGACACGGUCCAGACUCCUACGGGAGGCUG
rnacentral:rRNA from 1 species